AUUAUUCUUUGGAGAUUUCUUUUGUGCUUAUAUUUAAAUCUAAUAUAAUUUUACUAGCUAUGUUUACUAUUCUCAAUUAUCAGCCUUCUAAUAAGCUAAAGUAUAAGUGCGUCGGAUUUAGUUAACCCUUAGAUGCAUAAGUGGGUCUAAAAUGACCCGGUGAGGUCGUUUUCUUGCAAUAUCAUGAAAAGUUGUUAUCGUUUCAUAUUCCAGGUAUUCCUCAAAAAACAUGUUAUUGAUAUAAUGCCAUUUAAAUUUUUAACUUACCUUUUAUACAUUUUUCGAAAUUGUACUUUUUGUAUUACUACUCCAAGCUUCCAUAAGUGGGUCAAAAAUGACCCGCAUUCAUUUCUUAUGGGACUUCAUGGGAAUCUUUGAUUCUUAUCAACUGUGACUGUCAGGAGUAUGUAUUCUGUGGACCACACAGACUAUAUCAUAAGUGUCACCCCUUAGGAAGAUUAUUUUACACAGCAAGAUCUGAUACAUGUGUCAUGGCUGCUAGGUAUACAGUUGAAAUGGUCCUACAGAUGCUGGAUGAAGAGGCAGUUAUGGGAUUUGACUAGAAUCUGAAAUACACACACACAAACACAGACACAGAAACAAACACACACACACACACACACACACACACACACACACACACACACACACACACCACAGGCAUGCACAAACACACACAAAAUGGAUAUUGACAUUGUUCUUAUUGCUGUUGAGUAAUUUUGUAAUGUUGACAGUUUUCAAAAUGUUAAAAAUGUUAAAAAAGUGAAAAAUAAAAAUAUUUCAUACGUGUAAUCAUUCUUGUGUGGACCAAAAUAUAAUACAAAGUAUAAUACCAAUGAUUAUUCUUAACUGAAAUGACAAAAAUGGCAUAAAAACCCAUUGAUUCUAAUACGGGUCAUUUUUGACCCACUUAUGGAAGAGUGUAGGGUCCAGUUACUCAUGCAUCUAAGGGUUAACUGAACACUGCUGCCAUCUGUAUUUGACGACCUGGGAAUGAGAACAGACUGUGAAGUGUGUCUGUGAAGUCCCUCCCUAUCUUAAGCCAGUGUGUCAUGGCUCUGCUCCCCUCCUGCUCCCUUUGCUCCUCCUCCUUCCCUGUGUGCCUGAUGAGGGUGCGGCCUCCAUUCUCCUCACCUGCUGUCUCACCUGCUCUCAAUCAUUCAUCAUGCCUCAGCCUUCAAGUACCCGGUUUUCCUCCCACUCAUCGCCAGAUUGUUUCAGCCAACUUAGUGGUAACUUUCGUGGCUCCUUUCAGUGUCUAGCUUUCCACUACAUGUCCACCCGUGAUUCUCCUGCUCCAGCUCCCUUGUCUAACCGUUUCUCUCCUGUGCUCCAGGAACCCUCGUGUGCAGUUCAGUUCCCAGAGUCAGUCUCCUGUGCCUCCGUGUCUCCGGUCUCCCUUGUCAUUUCACCUGCCUGUUCCUGCCGCGGCCGCCCCUCUUCCCCCCCAGUGUGUGUGUGCGGAAUAAAGACCCUUAAACCGUC